UAAAAUGUAUAAAUUCUGAAAACUUUAGCUAAGUUUCAAAAGUUUAUUUAUUCAUCCAAACCUUAAGAAUUUUUCCUCUCUCUUCCCAGUCCCACCCCUUUUUUAUUGCUUAAGUGUUCUAUAUUUUUGCAAGUAUCUGAAGAGUUAAAAAAAAAAAAUAACCAGGAGGGAGAAGGAAUAUUCUGAUUGUCCCAUGUAAUGAAACAAACCAAUGUAGAACUGUAGCUUUCAGGACCUGUCUCCUAACAGUGAAGUCCAUUGCCUCAUCCUCUCCACAGCUGACUAUAUUCCACUGACAUCACCACCAAGCUACUGAAGUGCUGAUCAAAUGGGAGAGCCUGGCUGAAGGGCAAUCAGACACCUUUGGUGAGAAGCAACCAGAAGGACAACCAGACACCUGUGAAAAUUGGAUUUUUUAAACAAAACAUAUUUCUUUUGCAAAAAAGUAUCUAUUUUUCAUCCACUCACGAAAAGUGUCUAUCAAGAGGAUGACUGUGGUGCAUGAUGGGAGAUGUAGUUCAAAUAGGAGCCCUACAGAGGAGAAUGGGAACAUGCGUAACACAAACUACAACCCCCAUGAGUACAGGUGAAUGUUCCUGCCACUCUGAGAGAAGGCUUGGAGGAUGGUGUACUUUGACCAUACAUUGAUCAGCACCAGAAAACUGUUCUGAUGUGGUUGGCACAACUUGCUACCACCUGUGAAAAUGAGGGAACAGCUACCUUUACAGAUUGGCUAGCGUAUGGAGUCUCCAUGUAAAGGGAGCUGCAAACCAUGAGAACUGCCCAUUCUCUGCCAUCAUCAGAAAAUCCUGCCACUCUGCCUGCCUACCAACAAUGAAAUGGACCAGGAAAGAGACACAGACACCACAACUUUAUUUGAUUCCCUGAAAUUUCAGAGGAGUACCACAAGCCCCUCACCUCUUCACUGCAAAAGACUACCACACUGUGUUUAUCCAACUUCCAGUUCAGAUCCUUCUCCCACUCCUAUUUCUUCUUGCUUGUGCAACAUGGCUGGGAGUGGGGAUAAGCCAGGGACAGGGAUGGUGACAAUUUUUGUAAUCUUCCAAGGGAGAAAGGACUUCUGUGACUAACUUUUCCUCAUAAAAUGUGUUCCCUUGACCUUCCCAGACCGAACUCUACUCCACCCCAACCCCAACCAUUCCACGUGGCUCCCUUUUUUAAGGGGAUGAUAAAAUCAGGAUGGAGGGAAGUGGGUGGGGAAGCACUGAAACCAUGUAAACAUGCAAGGAACAAAAGACAGCUGUUACUAACUUAAGACAGACAACUAUAUGUUUUCUGCAACUGCCCCAUCCUCAAGUAGGACCUUUCUAACUCUGCCACUUCCCUUCCCACCUAAUCUACAUGGCCCCCAGACCAUUGCUUGUUGGGUCGCCCUCAAAGUUAUAUAAGUAUGAUAGAAUUAUAAUUAUUUAGUAGUAGAAAUAAAGAUAGACAAAAGAGUAUAUAGGUAUUGUAAAAAGGUGUGAACAUCAGUUCCAUGCUGUUGAAUUUCACUCUGUACCAAAUGCAAGGCCAAAGUGCUAAUUAUUUCAGGCUGGUACAGGACAAAGAGUCUGUGCUGGAAAGUGAUAAGAACUUUGAGGAAACAAUGCUGUUCUUUAAAAAACACCCUGAUGCUUUUCCCCCGCGGGGGCCCGUUGUCAUGCCUGUGUAAAUCUUGGUAUCCAAUAGAUAGUGGGAUAAAACUUGUUAAAUGAAUCAAGAGUCAUAGAUUGUGUUGUUAAGUAAAAGAAUGAAUGAUGAGUGAAUGGAAUUGAGAGCCUGAAGCAGGGAAAUAAUUGGUUAGUAAAUGGUGCCAGCCUAAUCCUAAGAAUUUCAACCUUGAUAUCGAUGGGCCGAAGAAUAUGCAAAGUGGAGAUAACUGAAUGACCCUCGGAGGGCGAACCGGAAUCCACCCAAAACGCAUCAAGGAAGAACAAGAAGAUAACACCUAGCCAUCAUAGAGCUGUCAUGGAUGUACCACCUGCUGAUUGAGCUGAUUGAUGGUCAUCUCAAUUGUAAAUUCAGCAUGAUGAAGCAACUCCCAUAGACUUGUAUUGAACCAGAGACCUAUAAAAAUUGGGUCUGUGUUCUUUGAGUCCAGUUCUACAACCACCCUCCAGGAGCAUCGGAUGCGCAUCUGACAAUAACUCGGCUCCACUCUUAUGUCCAGACCACCUGGUCAGUGACUUGGCACGAGCAACAUCUAGGCUGGUAACUAUAACAAACUUUAUGUAGAACCUGUGUGUGAAUGUGUGUGUGUGUGACUGGAUCUAUAUAGAAAUUGCAUAUAGGAAUAUUUUGUUGUAUUUCCAAUAAACGUGGCAAUUUGCC